rnacentral:rRNA from 1 species
AUUGAACGCUGGCGGCAGGCCUAACACAUGCAAGUCGAGCGAGCGGCGGACGUGUGAGUAAUGUAUGGGGCUCCGCCCGAUAGAGGGGGAUAACUACUGGAAACGGUCGCUAAUACCGCAUACUAUCGGAUGAACCCAUAUGGGAUUGGCUAGUAGGUGGGGUAAAGGCCCACCUAGGCGACGAUCUCUAGCUGGUCUGAGAGGAUGAUCAGCCACACUGGGACUGAGAUACGGCCCAGGCUACUACGGGAGGCAGCAGUGGGGGCUAUUGCAGAAUGGGCGAAGGCCUGAUGCAGCGACGCCGCGUGGGGGCUGAAGGCUUUCGGGUUGUAAACCUCUUUCGCUAUCGAACGGGUAGGUGGAGAAGAAGCGCCGGCUAACUACGUGCCAGCAGCCGCGGUAAUAC